rnacentral:rRNA from 1 species
CCUACGGGAGGCAGCAGUAGGGAAUCUUCCACAAUGGGCGAAAGCCUGAUGGAGCAACGCCGCGUGGGUGAAGAAGGUCUUCGGAUCGUAAAACCCUGUUGUUAGAGAAGAAAGUGCGUGAGAGUAACUGUUCACGUUUCGACGGUAUCUAACCAGAAAGCCACGGCUAACUACGUGCCGGCAGCCGCGGUAAUACGUAGGUGGGAAGCGUUAUCCGGAUUUUUGGGGGUAAAGGGGUGAGCAGGCGGAAGCUCAAGUAAGCGGUAAGAUUGAGGGGCUCAACCUGUUCGAGCCUUUGAAACUGGUGUUCUUGAGGGAGUGAGAAGUAGACGGAAUGCGUGGUGUAGCGGUGAAAUGCAUAGAUAUCACGCAGAACUCCGAUUGCGAAGGCAGCAUGCCGGCGCUCAACUGACGCUCAUGCACGAAAGUGUGGGUAUCGAACAGGAUUAGAUACCCUUGUAGUC